ACCUGGCUGGCUCAGUCGGUGGAGCAUGAGACUUGUGAUCUUGGGGUUGUGAGUUUGAGCACCACGUUGGGUG
rnacentral:tRNA from 1 species